UAGAAAAAUUUACUUUAGAAAUAAUAGUUCAUUUUGACUAUAUAGUAAUGUACUUAAAAAUUCUCUUUGAUAAGAAACAAGUGAACUGGAUUCAGUCUUCUUUACAGCCUUUGUAAUGUCCUGUCACUUGUUUCCUAGGCUACAUGACAUUAAUCAGCCCCAGACAGUGACCAGGGCAGCGUUUGGGUUGUGUUAAUAUGCAUCAGAUUUGUAUAAAAAUGAGAGCGGUGGUCCUCUGACAUGGAAGUGGGCAAAAUGGAGACUUAAUUUUCUAGACUGAGCUAUUGCUACACUGAAAGAAAACUUGUAUGCCAAGACUAAGUGUGUUAAUAAGGACUAGUCACAUAAAAUUUGUGUCUCCGUUUGCUCAACUAUACAUUGUAAGAGUUACAGAGAAACACCUUGAAGACCCUCAGUAGGAGCGGUUCACUUCGUAAUGCAAAUUGGCAUGAAGGGGAAGUGAGGAAAAGCACAGCACUGAAGAUCUAGCCUUGGUAAACUUGAGCACUUGCACAGCGAAGAAAAGGUCAAGGCUGGUAUCGGGGAAGACAGUGAGACCUGAGAUCUGGCAUCUAGUUCCUUUUAACUUCACUGGAAAAAUAGAAAAUUGUUUCAUUUAUGGUUUUGUCAUCUAAAAAAUACACCUUUCAAAUCUUUAUUUAAAUUUGAUAUGUAAGUCAAUAAUUGUUUUUAUAACCCGUAUUUAUGUAACCCAUCAAUAUAAGCCCAUGUUUAUAUAACCUAUGCCUAUUGCUUACAUAACCCGUGAAGACAAAUAUCAGAUGUCGAAAAGGAAACAGGUCUGCUUAACGAAGGCAGUGACAUGCAAUGGAUCCCACAUGUCAGCGUGUGAAGCUAAAUGAUGGUAACUUCAUGCCUGUUUUGGGAUUUGGUACCUAUGCACCUCCAGAGAUUCCUAGGAACAGAGUUGUGGAGGUCAUCAAAUUAGCAAUAGAAGCUGGUUUCCGCCAUUUUGAUUCUGCAUACGUUUACAGUAAUGAGGAGCAGGUUGGACUGGCUAUCCGAAGCAAGAUUGCAGACGGCAGUGUAAAGAGAGAAGACAUAUUCUACACUUCAAAGCUUUGGUGCACUUUCCAUCGACCUGAGUUGGUCCAAUCAGCCUUGGAAAACUCACUGAAAAAACUUCAGCUGGACUAUGUUGAUCUCUAUCUUAUUCAUUUCCCAGUGGCUCUCAAGCCAAGUGAGGACCUAAUGCCAAAAGAUGAAAAUGGAAAAGUAAAAUUCGACACAGUGGAUCUCUGUGCCACAUGGGAGGCCAUGGAGAAGUGUAAGGACGCAGGAUUGGCCAAGUCCAUCGGGGUGUCCAACUUCAACUGCAGGCAGCUGGAGAUGAUCCUCAACAAGCCAGGGCUCAAGUACAAGCCCGUCUGCAACCAGGUGGAAUGUCAUCCUUAUCUCAACCAGAGCAAACUGCUGGAUUUCUGCAAGCCAAAAGACAUUGUUCUGGUUGCCCAUAGUGCUCUGGGAACCCAAAGACAUGAACUAUGGGUGGAUCCGAACUCCCCAGUUCUUUUGGAGGACCCAGUUCUUUGUGCCUUGGCAAAGAAGCACAAACGAUCCCCAGCCCUGAUUGCCCUGCGCUACCAGCUGCAGCGUGGGGUUGUGGUCCUGGCCAAGAGCUACAAUGAGCAGCGGAUCAGAGAGAACGUGCAGGUUUCUGAAUUCCAGUUGUCUUCAGCAGAUAUGAAAGUUCUAGAUGGCUUAAACAGAAAUUAUCGAUAUGUUGUCUUAGAUUAGCUAAAUUGCGACAGUCCACAGCUCUUUGAGGAGCCAGUCUUGAAAGCCAUUGCCAAGAAAUGCAGUCGAAGCCCAGACCAGGUCAACCAGCUUAGCGGCAUCGUUGGUUCUGGCCAAGAGCUUCUCUGAGAAGAGAAUGCAAGAUGACCUUCAGGUAUGAGACCAGUAGUGUUUCUUCAGAGUGAGCCGUGGGUGCUGUCCUGGUGAUCUCUCUUGCAUGGAAGCAUACACUGUGUUCCAUUCAUUCUCAUGCUUCUCUCCCCUGUGUGCUACGGAUGGAGGCAGCUUGGAAGGGUGAGAAGAGAGAGCACUGGACUCAGAGUCCUAAGGUUUGUCACCUCUGUGCUUGGCUUUGCCACUUACUAGGUACGUGACACUAAGCAAAUUUCAACUCUGUUAUUUUAAUCAGUUUUAGGAGUUCUUCUACAUGGUAAUAAAUUUAAGGGCCCUGGGUUCUCCCAUUCACCUUCUCUGCCCAACAGACUCCUAUUUGUAUUUUAAGAUCAAACCCAAGUAAGAUAAGCUGCUUUGUUUAACCAUUCAAACCACCCACCACAUUUUUUCACCAUAAUAAUACAUAGAACAGCUCUGCUUAGUGAAUUUUUUUUUUAUUAAUUGCCUGCUGUUUGCUAAUAUAUCAGUGUGCUCUCUGGAUGGUGAGACCCUAAAUGCAGUGACUCUUUCUGGGUCAUCUUUUAUCACCUUUCCCCUAGCAGAGAGGAAACCAGGUAUAAGUUCAUAGCCUUACCAAAUUAACAUAUACAAUGAGUUAUUUCCUAAACCUCUCCCCAUAUACACUCUGGGCCUUAUAUUAAUCACAGGUCUCCAACUUAUUUUGUUUUGAAUCCCACAAGAAUUUUGAAAAGCCAUGUAAGCUAUUUUUCAUUUUGAGAUGACAGCUACAAAUUUUAUCAUGAGUUUCAUAUUUAUAAAAUAUGACAUUUGGAACAUAUUAUUUGUAAUGUAUUUACUUCAAAACAUUUUAGUUAUAGAGCAAGUAUAUUCAUUUGUGGAAAAAUUUAAUUGGCAAAUCUAAAUCUCAUUGUUAAACCACACAGAUUACAUUUUAUUUUUCAGUUAAACACAUGUUAAUACCUGCUCCCAUGACAACCAUAUAACUUCUGAAGUACAUUAUUUAAAGGAAUAAUGGAUAAAUUGGUGGGUGAAUAUGUAGAAAAUAGACAUAUAUAGAGAGAAAUAGAUGAUGAUAGUAGAUGGACGGAUGGAUGAUGGAUAGAUAGAUAGAUAGAUAAUAGGCAGAUUAUCUUAGCCUUUCAUGAAAUUGUCUUCUGGACCACAUAAUGAACUUAGUAUUUUUUUUACCAAGAUAUCUCUGUUUUGCUAUUAAAGGACUUCCCAUUAGGGGCUGCUCCUUUGACAAUCAUAUCAUUUCUGAAAUACAUUUUUAAGAAGAAUAAUGGAUAAAUUGGUGAGUAGAUAGAUAGAAAAUGAACAGAUAUGUAUAGAGAGAAAUACAGAAACAGAUGAUGAUAAUGGAUGGAUAGAUAGAUAGAUGAUACAUAGGCAGAUGAUCUGAGUCUUUCAUGAAAUUGUCUCCUGGAUCACAUAAUAAACUUAGCAUUUUAUUUUAUUUUAUUUUUUUACCAAAUAUCUCUCUAUUUUGCUAUGAAAGGACUUCCCAUCAGGGGCUAUGUGUUGACAAGUGAAAACCAACCUAGACAUAAGUAAAAGAAAUUUAUUCAAAGGGUAGAACUCUGAGCAUGACAUCUAUGUAUCUCAAAGAUCGAUCAGAAAACAUUUUUUGUAAGGACAAGCAAACACAGCUGCAAAUGGACAGUAUUGAGGGGUCCUGAGGUGAGCAAGCAGAAGAGUUGAUCAGGAAAUGCUUUUUAUGGGGCAGAUUACUGAGUGGGACUGUCCUGUUGUUCAAGGCUUGUUCAGUCUAAGUCUACAACUGGAUUGAGUUCCAGGGGAAGUGGGGAAACAAGAGCCUGACCAAGUGUGGUCAAGUCCAGGUGAAUUGGUGCAGAGUAGAAGGAGGUGGGAUGGAGAAGAGGCGGAGCUCAGGUGGAAGAGAUUCCAGGCCAGGCGCACCUGGAAACUGAUGAGGAUGGAAAUACCUCCCCUAAUGCCAUCCUUGCCUCUGUCUCCUGCGAAGUCCUUGGAUUCCCAGGCGGAAGCCGCUGUCCUGGGGAAACGUUAAUGAAGUUUUUCUGCGGGUGAGAGUAGCACCGCGGAAACUCUAUUUAGUCCACGUCCAGUAUUACCGGACCUGCCAGCAGUUUUGUACACACCGCAUCCAGCCGCUUUUGCCGUCCACGUUUCUCUGGAUCACCUGUUCUUGGAAUAAGGAAGGAUUUCUUCAGCCGCAGAGAGAAACCACGCCCAUUGCAAGCCGCGUCCACCAGAGGGAGCUCACGGACAAGCGCUCGUCCACGCCGCGUGUUACGAUUGUUACGUAUCCUGCCAUGCUGGGAGCUAGAUACGCACACGGGAAAGCAUGCACGCAGUAAGAGUCAGCAGCCCUUUUAUUUGAAUCAUUGACCGAGGGCAGGAUCUCAAUGCAGAACAAGGAUUGACUCCUUUUUCUCUUCCAGCCUGGUGAAACCUAGACCAGAGAGUCGCCCAGAGUAAUGUAGGAACGUGAACCUUACAACCCAAGAUAGGUUUCACUUUUACUGGGUCGAAUCCUUUGCUAGCUCAACACUAGAAGAAAUUCUUCUUACCUCUGGAGGUGCAUAGGUACCAAAUCCCAAUACAGGCAUGAAGUGACCAUCAUUCAGCUGCACACACGGCUGUUUGGAAUCCAUUCCCCGUCACUUGCCUGACUGGCAAAUAUUAAAUUUGUUUCUUUUUCCCUCAGAGACUAUAAAAACAAUGGGCAGGCAACGCCCCACUGCACGUGGACUGACGGUUAACCAACAGCCUGUAAGAGGAAGGACAUUGCAGCCUUAUAUGGACCGUGGAGAAGACUGAAUCCAGUUCCCUUGUUUCUUAUCAAAGAGAAUUCCCAAGUGAAUUAUUAUAAUAUAUGGUCAUA